AUUGAACGCUGGCGGCAGGCUUUACACAUGCAAGUCGAACGGUAACAUAAAGAAGCUUGCUUCUUUGAUGACGAGUGGCGGACGGGUGAGUAAUGCUUGGGAAUCUAGCUUAUGGAGGGGGAUAACUACGGGAAACUGUAGCUAAUACCGCGUAGAAUCGGGAGAUGAAAGUGUGGGACCUUCGGGCCACAUGCCAUAGGAUGAGCCCAAGUGGGAUCAGGUAGUUGGUGAGGUAAAGGCUCACCAAGCCGACGAUCUCUAGCUGGUCUGAGAGGAUGACCAGCCACACUGGGACUGAGACACGGCCCAGACUCCUACGGGAGGCAGCAGUGGGGAAUAUUGCGCAAUGGGGGCAACCCUGACGCAGCCAUGCCGCGUGAAUGAAGAAGGCCUUCGGGUUGUAAAGUUCUUUCGGUAGCGAGGAAGGCAUUAGUUUAAUAGACUAGGUGAUUGACGUUAACUACAGAA
rnacentral:rRNA from 1 species